rnacentral:misc_RNA from 1 species
GUGAUUAAAUCGAGCGUGUCUUCAUUGACCGCUCACCCUUCUCACCAUCCACAUACACCUGUGCACUGUUUAGCCUGAGCCGGUUUUCCGGUCCAGGUUAUCAUUCAUACAAACUCUAGUCUUAUGAAUGUAAACGUUUUAAUAACAUAAUA